AUAAAAUUUGUGAGCUGAAGAUAAUAGAAUGGCGCGAUAUUUUUUCGUUAGAUAUCUUGGAAAAUUUUUCGACGAAACUUUUAAAUACUUUACGACGAGGUCGUUUUUUUCUCUCGAAAGAUAGUUCGUAUUUAAACCAGGAUCGUAAAAAUAUAUUUUGAUAAAUUACAUUAAAAUACACGAUAAAAUAACCUUAUACUGAUGGGCGUAAACUAAUGACAUCAUUAUCAGCUGCUUAUUUUAACAAAGAGGACAUUUAUACUUUAGCUGGAGAAUUAGGGAUGGCAGAAGUUAACUUAUUGAUAAAAAUAAGUCAGAGUACCCAGAAUGGAGGUUAUUACCUUGACUUGUUAGUUCAAAAUAUUGAAACAAUAUAUUAACAAAGGGUUUCGUCCAGAUCAGAAUAGGAAAGCAAUUAUUGCUACAUAUGUAACUGGUGGAGUUCCAUCAAAAUUUUCAUAUGAAGAAUUGACCAGAUUUGAUCCUGAGCAGACCAAGUGUACAAUCUUCAGGGCUUCCACAAUAGGAAAAGGAGUUCAACAUAAUGACAUUCAAAGUUCCUGAUAGAU